AUUAAAACAGCAAUUUUUUCUUCCUUCUUGGGCAGAUGUUUUCCACUGUUUUUCUUGAGAAUGAACUGGGGCAUUGCUUUUAUCUACAGCAAAAAACAAAAGCGAAACCGCCCAAAGCGAGAUAGCACGUACCGAAGUUUACAUCUUUACUUUCAACUUCUGAAACCAAAUGGCUACAGUGAUUUAUGAUGCUCUUUCUGAGCUACUGGAAGACGAGUUCAAAGAAUUCAAAUGGCACCUGUCAAAUAGCGAUACAAAAGACAACUCUAUUGCUCGUGGAAAGCUGGAGGACAAAAAUCGGCAUGAGGUCGUGGAUCUCAUAAUGCAGCAGUAUGGCAGCUCAGACGCCGGGAAGGUUGCAAUCAGAGUGUUGCGCAAAAUUAAGCAAAAUGAUCUGGCUGAUCAGUUGAAGGGAAAACUUCAGGAAGUUUCAGAGGAUGUUUCCGCUGAAGGCGGAGCUUCAUCCGGUGCAGCGGCUGCAAACAAUUCAGUAGUUACAGUGUCCUUAAGCUCUAGCAGUGGAGGAACCGUAAAGGCCCCUGUUAUUCAGGGGAGUGUUAUUCAUGGCCCAAUGACCUUUAACUAAUGCUCAAGGAUCUAACUGUCUUAUAACAAUGAUUUUAAAGGCUCGAAUGAAGAGUAUCUGAAAUUAUUCAGAUCUACUUUGUUUUCAAAUGCAUAUUAUGUUCACAGCUCUGUUAAAUUUGACAGAACAUUUUUAUUUAGUUUUAGUCAUAGUCAUGUGUAAAAUGGCAUUUAGUUUAGUCAUAUUUUAGUAAUCUAAAUGGUUUUAGUCUUAGUCUAGUUUUAGUUGACUACAUCUUCCAUAGCUAGAUUUCCAAACCCAUUAUAUAUUCUUGGAAAAAAAUAUUUAAUAAACUGGUAAUAUAAAUGAUUUGAAAACGCAACAAACAGAUUUAACUGCUGUUACACUUAACAUGUCUUCAUCUCAAAAUUAAAUAAAACUACAA